CAAUAGCGUAUAUUAAAGUUGUUGCAGUUAAAAAGCUCGUAGUUGGAUUUCUGAUCGAGACAUCAGGUCGGGUCCGAGAGGAUCAUGUACUUUGAUUUUGUUUUGAUCAUCCUUGGGGAGAGCAUUUCUGGCAUUCAGUUGUCGGGAUUGGGAUCCUCAUCGUUUACUGUGAAAAAAUUAGAGUGUUCAAAGCAGGCCUCGGCCUCUGAAUACAUUAGCAUGGAAUAAUAAGAUAGGACUUUGGUGGUCUAUUUUGUUGGUUUGCACGCCAAAGUAAUGAUUAAUAGGGAUAGUUGGGGGUAUUCGUAUUCAAUUGUCAGAGGUGAAAUUCUUGGAUUUAUGGAAGACGAACUACUGCGAAAGCAUUUACCAAGGAUGUUUUCAUAA
rnacentral:rRNA from 1 species